rnacentral:rRNA from 1 species
UACGGAGGGGGCUAGCGUUGUUCGGAAUUACUGGGCGUAAAGCGCACGUAGGCGGCUUUGUAAGUUAGAGGUGAAAGCCCGGGGCUCAACUCCGGAACUGCCUUUGAUACUGGCAAUCUUGAGUCCGGAAGAGGUGAGUGGAACUCCUAGUGUAGAGGUGGAAUUCGUAGAUAUUAGGAAGAACACCAGUGGCGAAGGCGGCUCACUGGUCCGGUACUGACGCUGAGGUGCGAAAGCGUGGGGAGCAAACAGG